AUUCACUUAUGUAUAUAAAAUUGUCUCCCGGCUUCUUGUUAGCGGGAUAAUAUACAGUUACUCACGAAACUGAGUAUACACAGGAGUUCUGCAUUUGGGGCGGUUGACAUCCCUCUGUAUUACUUUAUGUAAUUUGUGGGAGUAAUACGGAUGAGUAUUUGUUUGGAUUAAAGAUCCCGGCCACCUUGCAGAAUCUACGAAAUAAUUGUUGUUAAAGCGUCUCAAAAUAAGCGAUUUUUAUAACAUUUUCCAUGGUGGCCAGAUGGAACAAAAUAAGAAUUUUUGGGCAUUUAAAUUAAAAUACCCAAC